GUUGUAGCUCGUGUCGUACAUCGCGUUUUUGUUUUCCUGGGGGAACAGUGCUUAAAAGACUUCUGUGGAAACGAAUCAGAAUUUAGAAGCACGACUCACGACUGUCAGCAUCCUCUUCGAUUAUUAUUCCAAAGGUUUUUGAGCUGUCCCACCUGGAACCAAAGAUGGCAUUAAUCAAAAUGUUGGCGGUAUUUUUCUUCGGCAUGGCGUGCGGCUUGAGAUACCACGAAAUCCCUUCCCGAUGUCCAGCUAGUUUCAACGUCAGUCAGGUGAUGAUGGAAGACGAAGCGAAGCUGUACUUCACGCUGCUAGAUGUGAAUAUUCCGGAACGUCAGUCAGAGACUACCUCCUUCCCAAAGGUAGUUUAUGGGCAAGAUACUCCCCAAACUUUCACCAGCAUCACCCCUACGGUUAUUACGAAGGUGUGGCGGUACAUAGCGGCAACUUCUAUGGUAUCUAAGACUAAUUUUGAAACCAAAUCUUAUAUCGAACAUGAAACUGUAACGCCAACUGUUAAUUUAUAUCCGUAUGAGACAGUGUCUGUAUCUGUCUGUCAUUUAAGUGAGAGCUGGAGUUUGCAGAAAGCUGGAGUUUGCCGAAAGUCAAACCUCGCACGAACAGGAUUUUUUGGUGUGCAUUCGAGUUGUCCCCUUAGUGGAGAUUAUUCAGUACCUGCAGGAGGAUCUACAGAAACAUUGAAGCGGAACGCUGUUGGUGCUGUGGGUAAAUGUGAGCCUACGGAAAAUUAUUUUAAUUCUUCGCCUGACUACAUAUUGGUGAACACUGCUACGAAGGCGGCCGUUCCGUAAAUAAACAUGUUACUGCGCGAUUUUAAAAUAUUCCUUUUUAUUGAAUGUU